UGCUACGGGAGUGUAGGGUUCCUAGCGAGCCCAACCUCCCACCCGUGUUUACUGUACCUUAGUUGCUUCGGCGGGCCCGCCAUUCAUGGCCGCCGGGGGCUCUCAGCCCCGGGCCCGCGCCCGCCGGAGACACCACGAACUCUGUCUGAUCUAGUGAAGUCUGAGUUGAUUGUAUCGCAAUCAGUUAAAACUUUCAACAAUGGAUCUCUUGGUUCCGGCAUCGAUGAAGAACGCAGCGAAAUGCGAUAACUAGUGUGAAUUGCAGAAUUCCGUGAAUCAUCGAGUCUUUGAACGCACAUUGCGCCCCCUGGUAUUCCGGGGGGCAUGCCUGUCCGAGCGUCAUUGCUGCCCAUCAAGCACGGCUUGUGUGUUGGGUCGUCGUCCCCUCUCCGGGGGGGACGGGCCCCAAAGGCAGCGGCGGCACCGCGUCCGAUCCUCGAGCGUAUGGGGCUUUGUCACCCGCUCUGUAGGCCCGGCCGGCGCUUGCCGAACGCAAAUCAAUCUUUUCCAGGUUGACCUCGGAUCAGGUAGGGAUACCCGCUGAACUUAAGCAUAUCAAAGCGGGGGAGGAAA
rnacentral:rRNA from 1 species